CCCCUCUAUAUCCGCGAUCCACCUCAUCGCAGCAAUCGGAUCCUGCGUCCCAUCGAACUCUGGUGGCUUCGUGUUGCUGAACUCUCGGAACAGCAACGAGUCACCCCCCUGUGGCCUAGCAGCGGCCACAGCUGCGGUAGCUGCAGCGGUUGCAGCCUCAGUCAAUGCGGCGUACCGCUCAUCAAACGUCUCCAUCAGGGUGGUCUUAAUAGACCCAAACAUCUCCGGGAUCUCAGCCCGGAUCGCCGCAGCUACCUCCUCGUGAAUCAUCUGACGAAUCUCCUCGUCACUCACACCGCUCGAACUCGCUCCGUGGCGUGGUCUAACCAUGAUGUCUCUGAAAUACAACAUAAAACUAUCAGAGACUCCAUCGAGUAUAAUCGCACUCGAUAACGCAACCCUACUCAGUCUCCGAUAUCCAGGGAUUCUUACUUGGGUCUCCCACUGACCCGGUGUCUUCGGUAGUACGGGCCCAAUACUACCGACCACACCGCAUCAGCAUUCAUCCCAAAUCUUCCUCCCCAAACCCCGGAUAGUGAGUACUCUACUUCUGUUAUGCACUAUCUACCCGCACACUAGCAAAGCAUCUCAUAUCGGCAAACUUCCCUAGACUAAGGCAUCACAAAUCAGGCCACUCUAGUCCUAUCAUGAAUACCUAGUCUUCUAGCAUGCAUAACAAUUCAUAUCAUAUAAUAUUGUAAGGUAUUUUGGGGAUCUUUACCGUUCGGGCGCUGACUGAUCGUACACACUGCUUCUUUCUUGCUUACCACAAAACCAUUUACAAAAGUUUAUGCCUUUAUUUAAAAAGUUUUCCUCAAAUCCUCGGUUUGAGUUCAGUUACUCCCGAAGGUGCACCCGAAUCCCUCAAACCAAGGCUCUGAUACCAAUUGUAACAACGCAAAUUUUCAAACAAAUUUUUCAUUUUAAAAAUAAAGUAUUUCCAUUCAAAACAAGGCAUAAAUAAUUUAAGUGUCAUGUCAAAUACAAAUUGUCUAAAUCCCAAGAUCAUAAAAACAUCCUUCAGUGUGUACCGAUCACGCCGGCGCCUUCCCACGGUCCUCGCUAGUACCUGAAACACAUACAUAACAACUGUAAGCAUAAAUGCUUAGUGAGUUCCCCAAUAUACAACUUACGCACAUACGCCUUUCCAGGCCCUGACCUUCCGGUCCUCAACACAACGCCUUCCGGCCCAUAACAUAAUCGCCUUCCGGCCCAUAACAUAUUGCCUUCCGGCCCACAUAACAUACAUAGCACAUAUAACAAAUAACUUACCACAUAUAGCAUACAUAUCACAUAUCAUAUCUGACCUUCCGGUCACACAGUCAAACCCUUCCGGGUACAGUAUAGUGAGAAGACUCACCUCGUGAAUGCUGAAAGCUAGCAAAUCCUGAAAUCACUCGUGCACAAUCCGACGAGCUACAACCUCCCUAUAACAUCACAUAUCUCUCAUUAACACUUAUAUCUUCUAAGUGUGACUAUCCCUAAGAAGUCAGACUUAGGUCAACUCUGGUCAACGGUCAACGGUCAACGGUCAACUCGACCGGACUCGGCGAGUGCCAUGGCGACUCGGCGAGUCUAGACGUCCUCCAACUCUCUGAGAUUCCCUUUCUACUCGUCGAGUAUCCUCCUUGACCCGACGAGUUACUCCUGGAAGAAUCGCGGGGCCACCCCGACUCAACUCGCCGAGUCUGAAGAACAACUCGACGAGUCCCAGUUAAUCUUCAAGCUACUCGCCGAGUCUGUUCAUCGAACUCGGCGAGUCCAUGCCAUGCAACCGCUCAAACUGCAUCCUAAGGUCAGAACUGCUUCGACCAUUCCUAGGUCUGGCCUUCCUAGGCUGAUCCAUCACGUAAAGUCCUCAUUUCAGUGCUCAUGAUACACCAUAUGAUUCAUAAUUUACAUUUUGACCUAAGGCAUAAGGAUUCCAAUCCAAAACCUUCAUCAAUUCCCGAAAUGCACAGACAUGGGACAUUCUGGACCUCCAAAGGUCCCAAUACAGGGUUACAAUCGAUUAGGGGACUAGGGUAACAUUCAAUCUAUUCACAAAAGGGUUCCAUAAACCCUAAUUCCAUAAUCACAUCAACAUAGCAGAGUAUACUCGAAUUCUUACCUGGAUGAUGUAUUCUCUGUGUCCCCAAUCCUCAGAAUGUGACUCCCUUGCUGUUCCUUUAGCCAAUCCCUUCUCUUCCUUGCACAACAACUCUUCUAUAAUCAACAAUGGCCUAUAAUCCUUGCUCCAGAUGCACACAAUCGAUUUAGGGUUCUUCUCAGAAGGCUAAAAUGAACAAUGACGGCCAAUAAGUCCCUUUUAUACGUCCCAAACCUGAACGGUUAGGGUUUUCGCUAAACAGCGUAGACUCGCCGAGUCCAUAUCUGGACUCGUCGAGUCCAGUCGCGAACCCGCGACCAAGUCUGCGAUCCUACUCGGCGAGUCUAGGCUCCAACUCGCCGAGUCCCCUCUUAAAUCACCCCAAAAACAUAAUUUAACAAUACCUGAGAUUCCGGGCUGUUACAACUCUCCCCCACUAGGAUUAGACUUCGCCCUCGAAGUCUCACUCUGCAAAUAGUUCCGGAUGCUGCUCCCGCAUCUCACGUUCCGGCUCCCAAGUCAUUUCCGAUCCCUUCCGGUGUUGCCACUGAACCAACACCAGAGGUACCUCCUUGUUCCUCAGAACCUUGAUCUUCCGAUCCCUGAUGGCCACUGGUCUCUCAGCAUAAUUCAGGCUCGCAUCCACCUGAAUAUCCUCUAAUGGAACCACUGCCGACUCAUCGGCUAUGCACUUCCUCAAUUGCGACACAUGAAAGGUGUCGUGGAUCUGUCCCAACUCCGCUGGCAACUCCAACCGAUAGGCUACCCGGCCUAUCCUUGCAAUCACACGAAAUGGCCCAAUAUACCGGGGCCCCAACUUGCCCCUCUUCCUGAAUCGAAUCACUCCUUUCCAAGGAGAGACCUUCAGGAGAACGAAGUCGCCGACUUGAAACUCAAGCUCGGAUCGGCGCCUGUCUGCAUAACUCUUCUGUCGGCUCUGGGCGGUCAAUAACCUCUGUCUAACUUGCUGAAUCUGCUCUGUCGUCUGAAGCACGAUCUCUGUGCUGCCCAUCACUCUCUGUCCCACCUCUCCCCAGCAAAUGGGGGUCCGACACCUCCUACCAUACAACAGCUCAAAAGGUGGCAUACCAAUGCUCGAAUGAUGGCUGUUGUUGUAGGAAAACUCUGCUAAGGGUAAAUAUGCAUCCCAGCUACCCCCGAAGUCUAACACACACGCUCGAAGCAUGUCCUCCAGCGUCUGAAUCGUCCGCUCGCUCUGACCGUCUGUCUGGGGAUGGUAUGCGGUACUAAAAUGCAAUUUAGUACCCAGCUCCUCAUGGAAUUUCUUCCAGAACCUGGAAGUGAAGCGCACAUCACGGUCUGAAACAAUCGAGAUCGGCACUCCAUGCCGAGAUACCACUUCUCUCACAUAUAUCUCCGCCAACUUCUCCGCUGAAGAACUCUCGCUGAUGGCAAGGAAGUGUGCACUCUUCGUCAACCUAUCCACAAUCACCCAAAUUGCAUCAACUCCCCUGGCAGUCCUCGGCAAUUUGGUGAUGAAAUCCAUAGUGAUCUGUUCCCACUUCCACUCGGGGAUCUCCAAUGGCUGUAACUUGCCAUGCGGUCUCUGGUGCUCGGCCUUAACCCUACGACAGGUCAAGCACCUCUCAACGAACCAUGCGACGUCCCUCUUCAUACAGGGCCACCAAUACUCUUUCCUCAAAUCCAAAUACAUCUUCGUAGCACCGGGAUGGAUCGAGAAUUUCGAUCUAUGAGCCUCUUCCAUCAAAGUAAUACGCGUACCGCCCACGAACGGUACCCAAAUCCGACCCUGAAACGUCAUAAGCCCUCGUCCAUCCUUAACGAACUCUGAAAUUAGCCCCACAACCCGCUCUUUCUUCUGCAUCUCUGGUCGCACAGCCUCGGCCUGUGCCCCACGAAUAGCAUCCAAUACUGGAGUCAUCACAGUCAGUCUCAAGCAUACAUCUCGCAAUGGAGUGCUCUCCGCCCUGCGGCUCAACGCAUCGGCUACCACAUUAGCCUUGCCUGGGUGGUACAGGAUCUCACAAUCAUAAUCCUUGACCACAUCCAACCACCUCCUCUGACGCAUAUUUAGGUUGGGCUGAUCCAUCAAAUACUUCAAGCUCUUAUGGUCCGUGUAUAUCGUACAUCGAACCCCAUACAAGUAGUGACGCCAAAUCUUGAGAGCGAACACUACUGCCCCCAACUCUAAAUCAUGCGUGGGAUAUCUCGCCUCAUGAGGCUUCAGCUGCCUCGACGCAUACGCUAUCACAUGACCCCUCUGCAUCAACACUGCACCCAGUCCCGAAAUCGAUGCGUCGCAAUAUACCACAAAAUCUUCCAUCCCUUCUGGGAGAGCUAAUACCGGGGCUUCGCACAACCUCUGGCGAAGUGUCUCAAAGGAGGUCUGCUGCUCGGGCCCCCAUGAGAAUGCAACACCCUUCCGGGUCAAUCUGGUGAGCGGCACUGCGAUCUUGGAGAAAUCCUUAAUGAAUCUCCGAUAAUACCCUGCCAACCCAAGGAAGCUCCUGAUCUCAGAGGGUGACUUCGGCACCUCCCAACUCAUCACCGCCUCAACCUUGGCCGGAUCGACCAAUAUCCCUUUCUGAUUAACAACAUGUCCUAGAAAUUGGACCUCCCGCAACCAGAAGUCACAUUUGGAGAACUUUGCAUAAAGCUUCUCCGACCUCAAUACCUCGAGGACCUCCCUCAAAUGCUCCUCAUGCUGCUCUCUAGAUCUCGAAUACACCAGAAUGUCGUCGAUAAAUACAAUCACUGACCGAUCCAACAUCGGUCUGCAUACCCUGUUCAUGAGAUCCAUGAACACAGCCGGGGCAUUGGUGAGCCCGAAAGGCAUCACCACAAACUCAUAAUGCCCAUAUCGCGUCCUAAACGCUGUCUUCUGGACGUCCUCAUCCCGUACUCUCACCUGAUGGUACCCUGACCUCAGAUCGAUCUUGGAAAACCAAGAUGCUCCCUGCAACUGAUCGAAUAAAUCAUCGAUCCUCGGUAACGGGUAACGGUUCUUGACCGUCAACUUGUUCAACUCCCGGUAAUCAAUACACAUCCGGUGUGAACCAUCCUUCUUCUUGACGAACAGAAUAGGUGCUCCCCACGGCGAGCUGCUCGGCCGAAUGAAUCCCUUCCCCAGCAACUCCUGGAGCUGCGAGGACAACUCUUGCAUCUCUGGAGGUGCAAGACGAUAAGGCACCUUAGCAAUAGGCGCGGCCCCCGGAACCAGAUCGAUACCAAACUCUACUUGCCUCACAGGAGGUACUCCCGGCAGCUCCUCGGGGAAAACAUCUGGAAACUCACGCACCACAGGGACCUCCUCAACUGAUUUCGGUCUCUCGGAAACCUCCCGCGUAUCCAUCACAUACGCCACAAAACCCUUACAGCCCUGCUGUAGACACUGCCUCGCCCUAGCGGCCGAACAAAAAGCUGAUCCCGAACGGGUACCCUCGCCGUACACCGAAAGAACUCCCCCACUAUGGUCUCGUAUAGUCACCAGCUGACGCUCACAGUCGAUGACAGCGCCGAAUCGGCUCAACCAGUCCAUGCCCACGAUGACACAGACAUCACCCAUCGCAAUAGGAAUCAGGUCAAUCGGGAAUUCAACCCCGAAAAUCUCUAGUACACAUCCCCGAAGAACCUCCGUGGCACAAAUCACUUUCUCGUCAGCUAUAGAAACUCUCAAAGGUCGACUCAACGACUCACGACUAACGCUGAUAUGCUGACUAAAGGCUAAAGAUACAAAGGACCUACUCGCACCCGAGUCAAAUAACACUAGAGCAGGCACAGAGUUCACAAGGAAAGUACCUACGCAUAUAAUAACAUAAGCAUAACAUCUCGACAUUAAAAUAAAUACAUGAAUUACAGCAUACCUGCCACAACAUCGGGCGCAGCGCGGACCUCCUCCGCAGUCAGCUGAAAGGCUCUCCCCCGAGCCCUCGGGGCCUCGGCCUUCACCGGUCGAGUCGCAGUAGCCCUGGCAGCAGGUGCAGAUCCCUGAAGAAGCUGAGGGCACUCGGCCUUCCGAUGGCCUGUCUGGUUGCAAUGAAAGCAAACCGUAAAUCCCUUGGGACACUCCCUAGCAAUGUGCCCCUCCUUGCCACACUUGUAGCAAGCACCAGAUCGACACGCCCCAUCGUGACCCUUGCCGCACUUUCCGCAAGUGCGGCCCUUCGGACCUCCCGUCCUCGAAUCGGCGGACUUAGUCCGCUUGGCUGCCGGCUGGAACUGAGCCGGUCGCCGGUCCACCCGCUGAGACUCGGCCUCCUCCCUGGCCUGGGUCUCCAACUCGAUCUCGCGCUUCCUGGCAUUCGCCUGAAGCUCAGCAAAAGUAUGGUAAGUGGAGUUUGACACAAACUCCCGGAUAUCCCUCCUCAACACUCCCAAGUACCGGCUCAUCCGAGCCUGAUCAGUGGACACCAGCUCGGGGCAGAACAUCGCCCUCUCAUGAAACUUCCGCGUGAUCACCGCAACAGAAUCAGUACCCUGCUUGAGGGUUAAGAACUCCUGAACCAAUCGUUCCCUCUCCACCGGGGGAACGUACUCGUCCCUGAACAUAGCAGUAAACCCCUCCCAUGUCACUGCUGUAGUCUCUGCCAAAGUGAAGUUCGCCGUCACGAACUUCCACCAGUCCUUCGCUCCCAGACGGAGCUGGUUCAAAGCGAACCGUACCCUCAGGUGCUCCGGGCAUGAACAAGUGUAGAAGCACCCCUCUAUAUCCGCGAUCCACCUCAUCGCAGCAAUCGGAUCCUGCGUCCCAUCGAACUCUGGUGGCUUCGUGUUGCUGAACUCUCGGAACAGCAACGAGUCACCCCCCUGUGGCCUAGCAGCGGCCACAGCUGCGGUAGCUGCAGCGGUUGCAGCCUCAGUCAAUGCGGCGUACCGCUCAUCAAACGUCUCCAUCAGGGUGGUCUUAAUAGACCCAAACAUCUCCGGGAUCUCAGCCCGGAUCGCCGCCGCUACCUCCUCGUGAAUCAUCUGACGAAUCUCCUCGUCACUCACACCGCUCGAACUCGCUCUGUGGCGUGGUCUAACCAUGAUGUCUCUGAAAUACAACAUAAAACUAUCAGAGACUCCAUCGAGUAUAAUCGCACUCGAUAACGCAACCCUACUCAGUCUCCGAUAUCCAGGGAUUCUUACUUGGGUCUCCCACUGACCCGGUGUCUUCGGUAGUACGGGCCCAAUACUACCGACCACACCGCAUCAGCGUUCAUCCCAAGUCCUCCUCCCCAAACUCCGGAUAGUGAGUACUCUACUUCUGAUAUGCACUAUCUACCCGCACACUAGCAAAGCAUCUCAUAUCGGCAAACUUCCCUAGACUAAGGCAUCACAAAUCAGG
rnacentral:lncRNA from 1 species